rnacentral:rRNA from 1 species
ACCGGGAGGGUGCGGCGAAUACUGAGGGGCUAGAGUGCGGGAGAGGAAAGUGGAAUUCCUGGUGUAGCGGUGAAAUGCGUAGAUAUCAGGAGGAACACCGGUGGUGUAAACGGCUUUCUGGACCGUAACUGACGCUGAGACACGAAAGCGUGGGUAGCAAACAGGAUUAGAUACCCUGGUAGUCCACGCCCUAAACGAUGCAUAUUUGGUGUGGGUCAUUCAGUUGAUCCGUGCCGGAGCUAACGCGUUAAAUAUGCCGCCUGGGGAGUACAGUCGCAAGGCUGAAACUCAAAGGAAUUGACGGGGACCCGCACAAGCGGUGGAGCAUGUGGUUUAAUUCGAUGCAACGCGAAGAACCUUACCUGGUCUUGACAUCCUGGGAACCCUGAAGAGAUUUGGGGGUGCCGCAAGG